rnacentral:rRNA from 1 species
UUUGAGAUUCUUCGGAUGAUCGAUCGGUGACUGAGUGGCGGACGGGUGAGUAACGCGUGGGUAACCUGCCCUGUACAGGGGGAUAACAGCUGGAAACGGCUGCUAAUACCGCAUAAGCGCACGAGGAGACAUCUCCUAGUGUGAAAAACUCCGGUGGUACAGGAUGGGCCCGCGUCUGAUUAGCUGGUUGGCAGGGUAACGGCCUACCAAGGCAACGAUCAGUAGCCGGUCUGAGAGGAUGAACGGCCACAUUGGAACUGAGACACGGUCCAAACUCCUACGGGAGGCAGCAGUGGGGAAUAUUGCACAAUGGGGGAAACCCUGAUGCAGCAACGCCGCGUGAGUGAAGAAGUAUUUCGGUAUGUAAAGCUCUAUCAGCAGGGAAGAUAAUGACGGUACCUGACUAAGAAGCUCCGGCUAAAUACGUGCCAGCAGCCGCGGUAAUACGUAUGGAGCAAGCGUUAUCCGGAUUUACUGGGUGUAAAGGGUGCGUAGGUGGCAGUGCAAGUCAGAUGUGAAAGGCCGGGGCUCAACCCCGGAGCUGCAUUUGAAACUGCUCGGCUAGAGUACAGGAGAGGCAGGCGGA